AGCCGCCGCGGUAAUACGGAAGGUUCGGGCGUUAUCCGGAUUUAUUGGGUUUAAAGGGAGCGUAGGCCGUUUGGUAAGCGUGUUGUGAAAUGUAGUAGCUCAACUUCUAGAUUGCAGCGCGAACUGUCAGACUUGAGUGCGCACAACGUAGGCGGAAUUCAUGGUGUAGCGGUGAAAUGCUUAGAUAUCAUGAAGAACUCCGAUUGCGAAGGCAGCUUACGGGAGCGCAACUGACGCUGAAGCUCGAAGGUGCGGGUAUCGAACAGGAUUAGAUACCCUGGUAGUCCGCACAGUAAACGAUGGAUGCCCGCUGUUAGCACCUAGUGUUAGCGGCUAAGCGAAAGCAUUAAGCAUCCCACCUGGGGAGUACGCCGGCAACGGUGAAACUUAAAGGAAUUGGCGGG
rnacentral:rRNA from 1 species